UACCCGCUGAACUUAAGCAUAUCAAUAAGCGGAGGAAAAGAAACCAACAGGGAUUGCCUCAGUAACGGCGAGUGAAGCGGCAAAAGCUCAAAUUUGAAAUCCCCCCGGGGAAUUGUAAUUUGAAGAUUGUGUUUUGGAAACGACCGUGUCUAUGUUCCUUGGAACAGGACGUCACAGAGGGUGAGAAUCCCGUGCGGCACGGCCACCGUUUCCUUAUAAAACACUCUCGACGAGUCGAGUUGUUUGGGAAUGCAGCUCAAAGUGGGUGGUAAAUUCCAUCUAAAGCUAAAUACAGGCGAGAGACCGAUAGCGAACAAGUACAGUGAUGGAAAGAUGAAAAGCACUUUGAAAAGAGAGUGAAACAGUACGUGAAAUUGUUGAAAGGGAAGGGCAUGCCGUCAGAUUGUCAGUGUGGGUAAGAAGCGGGGUACAAAGACUGUGGAACGUGGCCCUCGGGUGUUAUAGCCACAGUUCAUCCCCCGUCUCUUUCCGAGGCCUGCUUUGAGGACACC
rnacentral:rRNA from 1 species